CCCCUCAGCAAUGGGCAGAGAUAUCUUGUUGGUGGUGGUGUUCCUAUGUCAGUCAGGGGCAGAGCAGAUGGCAGUUCUUUGUUCAUCCUUGCUUGAUGCCUGGCCUGGUGACCAAAGCUGUAUUAUGCCUAGGACACAUGA